rnacentral:rRNA from 1 species
UUGAUGAGGCAUGCAAGUCGAACGGGGUAGUAGUUUACUACUAUCUAGUGGCGGAAGGGUUAGUAAUACAUAGAUAAUUUGUCUUUAACUUGGGAAUAACGGUUGGAAACGACCGCUAAUACCGAAUGUGGUGAAUUUAGGCAUCUAGAUAUCAUUAAAGAAGGGGAUCGGAAGACCUUUUGGUUAAGGGAGAGUCUAUGGGAUAUCAGCUAGUUGGUAGGGUAAAGGCCUACCAAGGCAAUGACGUCUAGGCGGAUUGAGAGAUUGACCGCCAACACUGGGACUGAGACACUGCCCAGACUCCUACGGGAGGCUGCAGUCGAGAAUCUUUCGCAAUGGACGGAAGUCUGACGAAGCGACGCCGCGUGUGUGAUGAAGGCUCUAGGGUUGUAAAGCACUUUCGCCUGGGAAUAAGAGAAUUUGGUUAAUACCCGAAUGAUUUGAGCGUACCAGGUAAAGAAGCACCGGCUAACUCCGUGCCAGCAGCUGCGGUAAUACGGAGGGUGCUAG